GGAGGGCUCUUGGCUCAGUGGUAGAUUAUCUGAUUUGCAUGCAGACGGUUCCUAGUUCAAUCCCUGGCAUCUCCA
rnacentral:tRNA from 1 species